rnacentral:rRNA from 1 species
CACUAUUUGUAUUAAUAAAUAGCUAUUCCUGCUCAAUGUCACAAUAAAUAGCCGCAGCCAACUGUGCUAAGGUAGCAUAAUAACUUGCCUUCUAAUUAAAGGAUAGAAUGAAAGGAAAUACGACUUUAAUACUGUAUAAGUUUUAAAUUAUAAAAUUAACUUAAGCAUAAAAAGGUACUUAUAAAAAAGAAGGACGACAAGACCCUAUCGAACUUAAUUAAAAAUUUAACUGGGGAGGUUAAAAACUAAAACUUUUCAAUUAAAAACAAAAUCAAGAUCCAAUAUAAAUUGACCAAUAAACCAAGUUACCGUAGGGAUAACAGCGUAAUAAAUAACAAGAGCACAUAUCUAAUUAUAAGAUUACGACCUCGAUGUUGAAUAAUGAAACUUUUUCACGCAACUGUAAAAAAAGUGGGUCUGUUCGACCUUUAAAACAUUACA